UUCAUUGUGUGGCUGGCAAGACCUAGAACCUAGAAUCUCUUUGGGUUCCAGUAUUCUCUUUGCGGAAUGGGGAUGAUAACAUCCAAAGUCCCGCCAGCCUCACUGAGAGCCUGGGAAGAUCAAAACACGCUGAAUCACAGUCUACCCGUUCGAGCUGGUAGUUAGCACAUGUUUGCGACGAUCAGGCGCCACGCUAAGUGGCUUACGUGCGCUAUCUCGUCUGACCAUCAUAAGGGCGUCAGAGGGUGCUUUACCGUGGACGGACCUCUAUUUAGGAAAACUUGGCAUCUAAAAGCCCACAGGGACAAAAUCGAUAUAUUAAGGCAACCAGUCAAUCACGGUUUGCCGAGGACUGAUAGGAUUUUAACACCAAAAGGCCCAAGGCCCGGAAACCCUUCAGUGCUAAGCACACCAGGGCCAGCAACAACAUACAGAACCAAAGUCAAAGUGAAAUGUGAACACAAGCAACGAGAAGAGCUGGGUGGAAAGAGACAGGGAAUGGAGACAUCCUAGCAGGCUUCCCUCCCUCCCCAGUGUACUUGGUGCACCUGUUUCCCCCCAGUGCUACCCUCUUCUGUAAGAUGUAACUCCAUUCAUCCUCCCGGCCUUUCCCUAAGGAGGAAGCCUCCUGAAGCAUGCAGACCAAGGGGCCAGCGAGGCGGCAUGGUGCAGAAAGAAAGCCAGGAGUCAGACUUCCUGAUUUCACACAUGACCCUGGGGCUUCUGACGUCCUCAUCUGCAAAAUGGGGACAACAUUCGCACUGAAGUCAGAAGGUUCCUGAGAGGAUUCAGUAAAUUACUCCUCAUAAAGCCUUAGAAGAGUACCUAACAGGAAGUAAGCGCCAUAUGAAUGUUAGCCAAAGGGAAAAGAAGUAUUUGUGUUACAGAAGUCUCCAAAUCUUAAAACAAGAGACUGAAUUCUAAUGCACCAAGUUUCAAGAAACAGUAAACUAAAUGAAAGGUUUGGAAGCUAGAGAGGACUAUUGUGUUUCCCUAAAAUCACAACACACAGGUUGGCAUCCCCAACACACACACACACACACACACACACACACACGGCAGUAUUCCAGGGACUGAUUUUGGAGCUCAGAUUUCGGAUUUUAACCUAGCUGUAUUACUUUAUAUCAAAACUUCAGUUUCCACAGAGAUAUUCAGUAUAUAUUUUUUUUAUUUUGAAUGUAACAAACCAAUUAAAGAAUGUUUCACAGUAGGCCCCUUUUGGGCUCCCAACCAAAGACCGCGUAUGAUCUCCGAGACCUUUUAGUUUCUGUUAUAGCUACAACUUGUAACCAUGAGGUGACCUAAUUUUAAAUUUCUCUCUGCCACCAGAACCUGAAAUGUAUCUUCUCCAGCAGGUAAACUCAGUCAACUCAUACAAUCUAACACGUUUUAGAAUAUCCUUCUCUACGGGUAAGAGGAUAAUGGGUGAGGGAGAUGCCUUCAAAUAAUAAAAAGCUCACGACUCCCA
rnacentral:lncRNA from 1 species